CCGCGUGUAUGAAGAAGGCCUUCGGGUUGUAAAGUACUUUCAGCGGGGAGGAAGGGAGUAAAGUUAAUACCUUUGCUCAUUGACGUUACCCGCAGAAGAAGCACCGGCUAACUCCGUGCCAGCAGCCGCGGUAAUACGGAGGGUGCAAGCGUUAAUCGGAAUUACUGGGCGUAAAGCGCACGCAGGCGGUUUGUUAAGUCAGAUGUGAAAUCCCCGGGCUCAACCUGGGAACUGCAUCUGAUACUGGCAAGCUUGAGUCUCGUAGAGGGGGGUAGAAUUCCAGGU
rnacentral:rRNA from 1 species